rnacentral:rRNA from 1 species
GAUGAUCGCUGGCGGCGUGCCUAAUACAUGCAAGUCGAGCGAACGGACGAGAAGCUUGCUUCUCUGAUGUUAGCGGCGGACGGGUGAGUAACACGUGGAUAACCUACCUAUAAGACUGGGAUAACUUCGGGAAACCGGAGCUAAUACCGGAUAAUAUUUUGAACCGCAUGGUUCAAAAGUGAAAGACGGUCUUGCUGUCACUUAUAGAUGGAUCCGCGCUGCAUUAGCUAGUUGGUAAGGUAACGGCUUACCAAGGCAACGAUGCAUAGCCGACCUGAGAGGGUGAUCGGCCACACUGGAACUGAGACACGGACCAGACUCCUACGGGAGGCAGCAGUAGCGAAUCUUCCGCAAUGGGCGAAAGCCUGACGGAGCAACGCCGCGUGAGUGAUGAAGGUCUUCGGAUCGUAAAACUCUGUUAUUAGGGAAGAACAUAUGUGUAAGUAACUGUGCACAUCUUGACGGUACCUAAUCAGAAAGCCACGGCUAACUACGUG